CUAGGUUAAAAAUAGGUCUAGGCUUGAAAUUUGUUUUAGACUCAAACUAUGACUUGGCUUAGCCUCAACCAUGGACAAAUAAAUAAUACUUUUUAAAAAUUUUAGGAAUUUUUAUAUUUUCAUAUAUUUUAAAAAAAUAUUUUUUUAAAAUUUUAAAAUUGUUUAAAUUUUCACUUUUUGAUAUUUUUAUUGGAAGUAAAAAAACUUCUAAAAAUAUUUUUUAAUUAUUUAUGUACUUU
rnacentral:lncRNA from 1 species